CUCUGCUUUUCUGAUGCAAGAAGCUGCAAGAUUCCAUCUCUGCCAUAAUGUCAUCCUGUUGGCUGGCUACAUCCACAAAGUUCAACAAACCAGUUCAACCUGAAGAAAGAGAGAGGGAGAGGGAAGAUUUUGACUCUAAGAUGAAACCCGAAUCUUCCAGGGGACAUUUGGGAAUGACUAGCAUUUUUUAUUGUCACAACUAG
rnacentral:lncRNA from 1 species